rnacentral:rRNA from 1 species
AUUGAACGCUGGCGGCAGGCCUAACACAUGCAAGUCGAACGAGUGGCGGACGGGUGAGUAAUGUCUGGGAAACUGCCUGAUGGAGGGGGAUAACUACUGGAAACGGUAGAUAAUACCGCCUACCAUCGGAUGUGCCCAGAUGGGAUUAGCUAGAAGGUGGGGUAACGGCUCACCUAGGCGACGAUACCUAGCUGUUCUGAGAGGAUGAACAGCCAAACUGGAACUGAGACACGGUACAGACUCCUACGGGAGGCAGCAGUGGGGAAUAUUGCACAAGGGGCGCAAGCCUGAUGCAGCCAUGCCGCGUGUAUGAAGAAGGCCUUCGGGUUGUAAAGUACUUUCAGCGGGGAGGCGUUACCCGCAGAAGAAGCACCGGCUAACUCCGUGCCAGCCGCCGCGGUAAUAC